UGGGCCCGUUUGAUCAUGGCUCAGAUUGAACGCUGGCGGCAUGCCUUACACAUGCAAGUCGAACGGCAGCACGGGAGCAAUCCUGGUGGCGAGUGGCGAACGGGUGAGUAAUGUAUCGGAACGUACCUUUCAGUGGGGGAUAACGUAGCGAAAGUUACGCUAAUACCGCAUAUUCUGUGAGCAGGAAAGCAGGGGAUCGCAAGACCUUGCGCUGAUUGAGCGGCCGAUAUCAGAUUAGCUAGUUGGUGGGGUAAAGGCCUACCAAGGCGACGAUCUGUAGCGGGUCUGAGAGGAUGAUCCGCCACACUGGAACUGAGACACGGUCCAGACUCCUACGGGAGGCAGCAGUGGGGAAUUUUGGACAAUGGGGGCAACCCUGAUCCAGCCAUGCCGCGUGCGGGAAGAAGGCCUUCGGGUUGUAAACCGCUUUUAUUCGGGAAGAAGGAGUCGAGGUUAAUACCUUCGAUGACGGACGGUACUGGAUGAAUAAGCACCGGCUAACUACGUGCCAGCAGCCGCGGUAAUACGUAGGGUGCGAGCGUUAAUCGGAAUUACUGGGCGUAAAGCGUGCGUAGGCGGUUGGCAAAGUCAGCUGUGAAAGCCCCGGGCUUAACCUGGGAAUGGCGGUUGAAACUAGUCGACUAGAAUCUGGCAGA
rnacentral:rRNA from 1 species